rnacentral:rRNA from 1 species
UUGCACAGGUGCUGCAUGGCUGUCGUCAGCUCGUGUCGUGAGAUGUUCGGUUAAGUCCGCUAACGAGCGCAACCCUCGCUGUGUGUUAUAUGUGUCACACGGGACUGCCGGUCUUAAGCCGGAGGAAGGUGGGGAUGACGUCAAGUCCUCAUGGCCCUUAUAGGUGGGGCUACACACGUCAUACAAUGGCCGGUACAAAGGGCAGCCAACCCGCGAGGGGGAGCCAAUCCCAUAAAGCCGGUCGUAGUCCGGAUCGCAGUCUGCAACUCGACUGCGUGAAGUCGGAAUCGCUAGUAAUCGUGGAUCAGCAUGUCACGGUGAAUACGUUCCCGGGUCUU